GAUGAACGCUGGCGGCGUGCCUAAUACAUGCAAGUCGAGCGAACAGAUAAGGAGCUUGCUCCUUUGACGUUAGCGGCGGACGGGUGAGUAACACGUGGGUAACCUACCUAUAAGACUGGGAUAACUUCGGGAAACCGGAGCUAAUACCGGAUAAUAUUUCGAACCGCAUGGUUCGAUAGUGAAAGAUGGUUUUGCUGUCACUUAUAGAUGGACCCGCGCUGCAUUAGCUAGUUGGUAAGGUAACGGCUUACCAAGGCGACGAUACGUAGCCGACCUGAGAGGGUGAUCGGCCACACUGGAACUGAGACACGGUCCAGACUCCUACGGGAGGCAGCAGUAGGGAAUCUUCCGCAAUGGGCGAAAGCCUGACGGAGCAACGCCGCGUGAGUGAUGAAGGUCUUCGGAUCGUAAAACUCUGUUAUUAGGGAAGAACAUACGUGUAAGUAACUGUGCACGUCUUGACGGUACCUAAUCAGAAAGCCACGGCUAACUACGUG
rnacentral:rRNA from 1 species